UACGUAGGGUGCGAGCGUUGUUCGGAGUUACUGGGCGUAAAGGGUGUGUAGGCGGUUCUUUAAGUUUGGUGUGAAAUCUCCCGGCUCAACCGGGAGGGUGCGCCGAAUACUGAGGGACUAGAGUACGGGAGAGGAAAGUGGAAUUCCUGGUGUAGCGGUGAAAUGCGUAGAUAUCAGGAGGAACACCGGUGGUGUAGACGGCUUUCUGGGCCGUAACUGACGCUGAGACACGAAAGCGUGGGUAGCAAACAGG
rnacentral:rRNA from 1 species